AAUCAACGCUGGCGGCGUGCCUAACACAUGCAAGUCGAACGCGAAAGCCCCGCAAGGGGUAAGUAGAGUGGCAAACGGGUGAGUAACACGUGGGUGACCUACCUUCGAGUGGGGAUAACGUCCCGAAAGGGACGCUAAUACCGCAUAACAUCCUGCCUUUGAACAGGCGGUGAUCAAAGCUGGGGAUCGCAAGACCUAGCGCUGGACGAGGGGCCCGCGCCUGAUUAGCUAGNGGUGAGGUAACGGCUCACCAAGGCGACGAUCAGUAUCCGGCCUGAGAGGGCGGACGGACACACUGGGACUGAGACACGGCCCAGACUCCUACGGGAGGCAGCAGUGGGGAAUUGUUCGCAAUGGGCGCAAGCCUGACGACGCAACG
rnacentral:rRNA from 1 species